ensembl:lncRNA
CUCUUCUACUGCUGAAAAUCAUGUGAAAGAAGGAGGUUGCAAAGUGGUUAUUCUGCUACAGAAAGCUGCCUCAAACUGCUCUUCUCAAAAGAAGUGUCUUCAAAUGCAAAAUGAAAUCAGUGUAAUGCUGGACCUAAUCUACAAUGACUGGAUCAGAUCUGAAAGAGUCAACGUCAUCAGCCUACCUAACCUGAACAAUUUGGAGUGAUGAUGCAGAAUUGUCUGUGUAAGAAGUUGCAUCUAUUUUGUGGUCUCUCCUGAUUAGCUUGCCCUGGCCUUAAUUUUCAUUCUGCCGGAGAAAAACAAGAUUGCUCUCCUGAGCUUUCUCGACUCCAGCAAAUUGAGCUGAUCCCCCUACUCGCAGGAAGGACCUUGUCAGAGGCCACUGCUUGAAUUUUCCCAGAAUUAGAAUAGUUUUUUGUGAAACAACAGCAACAACACUCGCUCAGCCAGAUGGAAAGUGAAGAGACACAUCAUUUGGAUACCUGUCUGCAUCUCUGUUGAAGAAACUAGCACGUGUACAGUUCUCAAGGGGGCAGAGGAGGAACAAAGCCUUGCCAUCAAGUCGGUUCCAGCAGACAGAAAUCAAUAUUUCCUGCAGAAUUCUUCUAGCGCUAUCAGGAAAGUGACAAUACAGAUAUCAUCAGUUUAAAUGAGAAGAAAGGGGUGAUAGUAGAACAUGGAAGAAGUGAAUAUAUUAAGACAAAGUUCAAAGUAACAUAACCAGCCAGCCAGACCUAGAGAAAGCCAUGCUGCAUGGAAACCUGUGUCCUAGGAUAUUGCUUAGGCUUCACAGGCAGCAAAGAGAGACGCACAACUAUCCAGCCUUUCUCUGCAACUGAAGUGAAUUGAUCUCCAAGCAUGCUAAUACAUCCCCUAAAUUUUAUGAGAAAGUUUUCCAGUACUUUCAACAAAUGCCAACAACAUACAAGACCUGGAGGCUUAGUAGCUAGGUGUGAUAUGGACAUUGCAUCUUAAUUUUAACAUUUGAAUAAGCUUAUAUCUCUGGCUAGUCAGCCACCUGUCAAGACUUUUUAAAAAAAAAAAAUAGCCCUCAGGAAAGCCUGGAAAAUGAAGUAUAC